UGUGAUUAUAUCCUUGAGUUGCCGAUUCAUUUUACGGGGGUGGUAUUCUUCGUUUGGCUUUAGAGAGAGAAAGUUCUGUAUUUCAAAGAAGCGAUUUAAGGCCCUUUUCAGUGUUAUCAGAGCUUGAGCUCAGAACAAGAUACCUAGAUCUUGGAUGAAAGAUGCUAAACUGAGGCAGAUCUAAUUUUUGGAAUGGAUAUUAUGCAUGACUGAAGGACGUCGAGUUCUUAUAAACUUGGUAUUUAGAGCAAAUGAAAUAUGAAAAUGUGGUAUGCUCCUUGAUGCACUCUAACCUAAAAAUUAAGCUAGCAAGGUGGAGAAUGUUGAGAGCAAAACCUGGUUUGGUGUGCUCCCUAAUUUUCAAAAUAAAAACGUAUUAUCAAAACACGUUUUUGAUAUUGAGAUGAUUUAACUAGACGUUGACACCUAUCCAACCUUUGAUCUUUUUUAAAUUUUGGUCGUUUUUUUUAGUAUUUGUCACUUUUUUGAAUUUUUGUCAUUUUUUUUUAUUGUUUGACAAUUUUUUAUCAAUCACAUUCUUGAAAUUUCUAUCAUUUUUUUUAGUGAUAAACAUCACAUUUUAAUAAAAGUGACAUUAUAUAUCAUUUUUUAAUAAAAAAAGUGACAGUAAACUUUCAAAGUGAAAUUGUCACUUUUUUACAUUUUGUCACUUUUUUUGAGUUUUAAUCACCUUUUAAAUUUUUGUCACUUAUUUAAUAAGAUAAAAAGUGACAUGAUAUGUUAUAUUUCCCUAACUUAAUCAAUGUGUGGAUUGUCCUGGACAUAUUGAUUAUGUUAAGAACCCCACUAAGCUCAUGUGGAUUGUCUUGAAUAUACUAAUUAUGUUAAGAAUAUGAUUGCUAGUGCUGCACAAUGGAUGGUACUAUUUUUGUGUUUGUCAUUUUUAUGAGUUUGUGCCACUUUUUUUUUUUUAAGUGUUUAUGUCACUUUUAAAAAAAAAAGUGAUAUUGUGUCACUUUUUUUUAUUUUGUAUCACUUUUUUUUUUUAAUUUGUGUAACUUUUUUUAAUUUGUGUCACUUUUUAAAACUCGUCACUUUUUUUUUUUUAAUUUUUGCCACUUUAUAAAGUAGUUUUCACUUUUUUCAGUCGUUUUGAAAUUUCCAUUACAUUUUUUUAGUGACAAACAUCAGUAUUUUUAUUUCCAAAAAUUUUUUCAUAUGAUUUUUCAAAAGACUUUUAAUUUUAAGGGUAUUUUUAUAAGUUGCCUUUUACUUUUUAUUGUGAUGUAGAUUGAUUGUAUUUAGUGUUUAAUAUCGUGUAUCUAGGGAUUUUCAAAUUGACAAAUGAAACUUGUGAAUAACAUGGACAAAUUUCAGAAACCUGUUUUUUUUUUUUUAAAAAAGAGAGAGAGAGUAUUCCAAUCAAAUUGGGCAAUCGGAGCAAGAAACUAUUGGGCAAUCGGAGCAAGAAACUCCCCAGAAAUAUUCUCUGAAGCGGCAUCUGAUAGAGCAGAACCCAAGCCAUUGUUAUCAAUUUCUUUUACUUGUUCAAAUCAAUCACUAGAAUUAUCCCUGUGCACCACAGUUCUCGAUCCAACAAAAAGAUCCGUCUGUUAUAGCAUAUUAGAAGUUCUUUUGGAUUUAGAUUAUUUGCUCUAUAGAUAGAUGGCUUAUUUCAUUAUAAUUUUAACCCUUGAUUACAUGAAUAAUCAUUGAUUUCCUUUACCUUCAA